GGAGACACACGGCGGGUGCUAACGUCCGUCGUGAAGAGGGAAACAACCCAGACCGCCAGCUAAGGUCCCAAAGUCAUGGUUAAGUGGGAAACGAUGUGGGAAGGCCCAGACAGCCAGGAUGUUGGCUUAGAAGCAGCCAUCAUUUAAAGAAAGCGUAAUAGCUCACUGGUCGAGUCGGCCUGCGCGGAAGAUGUAACGGGGCUAAACCAUGCACCGAAGCUGCGGCAGCGAACGUAUCACCCAAGACAACUUUACGGAGUUGACGAUUGACGGAGCGAAGCGACGUCAAAGCGUUCAUUAAAGUCGAGUUGGCUUAGGGAUACGUUCGUUGGGUAGGGGAGCGUUCUGUAAGCCUGUGAAGGUGUGUCGUGAGGCAUGCUGGAGGUAUCAGAAGUGCGAAUGCUGACAUAAGUAACGAUAAAGCGGGUGAAAAGCCCGCUCGCCGGAAGACCAAGGGUUCCUGUCCAACGUUAAUCGGGGCAGGGUGAGUCGACCCCUAAGGCGAGGCCGAAAGGCGUAGUCGAUGGGAAACGGGUUAAUAUUCCCGUACUUGGUGUUACUGCGAAGGGGGGACGGAGAAGGCUAUGUUGGCCGGGCGACGGUUGUCCCGGUUUAAGCGUGUAGGUGUGUGUUCCAGGUAAAUCCGGUUCACUUUAACACUGAGGCGUGACGACGAGGCACUACGGUGCUGAAGCAACAAAUGCCCUGCUUCCAGGAAAAGCCUCUAAGCAUCAGGUAACAUCAAAUCGUACCCCAAACCGACACAGGUGGUCAGGUAGAGAAUACCAAGGCGCUUGAGAGAACUCGGGUGAAGGAACUAGGCAAAAUGGUGCCGUAACUUCGGGAGAAGGCACGCUGACACGUAGGUGAAGUGAUUUACUCAUGGAGCUGAAGUCAGUCGAAGAUACCAGCUGGCUGCAACUGUUUAUUAAAAACACAGCACUGUGCAAACACGAAAGUGGACGUAUACGGUGUGACGCCUGCCCGGUGCCGGAAGGUUAAUUGAUGGGGUCAGCGCAAGCGAAGCUCCUGAUCGAAGCCCCGGUAAACGGCGGCCGUAACUAUAACGGUCCUAAGGUAGCGAAAUUCCUUGUCGGGUAAGUUCCGACCUGCACGAAUGGCGUAAUGAUGGCCAGGCUGUCUCCACCCGAGACUCAGUGAAAUUGAACUCGCUGUGAAGAUGCAGUGUACCCGCGGCAAGACGGAAAGACCCCGUGAACCUUUACUAUAGCUUGACACUGAACAUUGAGCCUUGAUGUGUAGGAUAG
rnacentral:rRNA from 1 species